GACGAACGCUGGCGGCGUGCCUAAUACAUGCAAGUCGAGCGAAUCAACAGGAGCUUGCUCCUGUUGAUUAGCGGCGGACGGGUGAGUAACACGUGGGCAACCUGCCUGUAAGACUGGGAUAACACCGGGAAACCGGUGCUAAUACCGGAUAAUCUUUUUCCUCUCAUGAGGAAAAACUGAAAGUCGGUUUCGGCUGACACUUACAGAUGGGCCCGCGGCGCAUUAGCUAGUUGGUGAGGUAACGGCUCACCAAGGCGACGAUGCGUAGCCGACCUGAGAGGGUGAGAGGCCACACUGGGGCUGAGACACGGCCCAGACUCCUACGGGAGGCAGCAGUAGGGAAUCUUCCACAAUGGACGAAAGUCUGAUGGAGCAACGCCGCGUGAGCGAUGAAGGCCUUCGGGUCGUAAAGCUCUGUUGUUAGGGAAGAACAAGUACCGGAGUAACUGCCGGUACCUUGACGGUACCUAACCAGAAAGCCACGGCUAACUACGUGCCAGCCGCCGCCGUAA
rnacentral:rRNA from 1 species